GUGACUUUUUUUUCCCUUUCACAGAAACAUUUAAAAGAUGCUGACUCUUAAACCACUGAUGGCCAUGCUUAAUAAGAAAUACUUCAAUAGCAGAUGGUGGGAUGAACAACAAGUAUAAAAACAAUGACUAAUAAUUUAACCUUUGAGGAACUGACAACUUCCAAAUGAAAACACAUUUCACUGCAGAAGUACACAGGUCAUCACAGCAGCUUCCUUCUCAGACAAUGGAGCAGCUGUUUGACACACUCUGACUGCUCACCUUGGCCAGAAUUGGGAAUCACAAUCCAAGCUGAAACAGGAGAAUGCUCCUCUCAGCAGCUGUUAGCACUUGCAAAACAAACUGAAACUGGAUCAGUCUUGGGCAAGGCCAAGGAAGUCCAGAGAUCUGCACUACUAAAUCAACACAGAGCCCAUGGCAUUUGGCAUUUGGCUAGUGAUGACAAAAUCAUAUCCUGUGGAUCACACGAGGCGCUUUGUAAUUAAUAUACUGUGGAUUAAUUUUUGUCGAGAGUUUGCCUGUCAUAUCCUCCUGUAGAACAAAGUUUGCAUCUUAAAAGGGAAACCUUCCAUAACAUGUAGGAGAUUUCUUGUUUCCUUGUAUUUUUCUUCCAUAAGAAAUUUCUUGUUUUCUGACUCAUAUUUUGGAAAAUUGCAAAAUGAGUUUCUUUUUUAUCGUUGUUUUUUUU
rnacentral:lncRNA from 1 species